GACGAACGCUGGCGGCGUGCCUAAUACAUGCAAGUAGAACGCUGAAGGAAGGAGCUUGCUCUUUCCGGAUGAGUUGCGAACGGGUGAGUAACGCGUAGGUAACCUGCCUGGUAGCGGGGGAUAACUAUUGGAAACGAUAGCUAAUACCGCAUAACAGUAGAUAUCGCAUGAUAACUACUUGAAAGGUGCAAUUGCACCACUACCAGAUGGACCUGCGUUGUAUUAGCUAGUUGGUGAGGUAACGGCUCACCAAGGCAACGAUACAUAGCCGACCUGAGAGGGUGAUCGGCCACACUGGGACUGAGACACGGCCCAGACUCCUACGGGAGGCAGCAGUAGGGAAUCUUCGGCAAUGGACGGAAGUCUGACCGAGCAACGCCGCGUGAGUGAAGAAGGUUUUCGGAUCGUAAAGCUCUGUUGUAAGAGAAGAACGAGUGUGAGAGUGGAAAGUUCACACUGUGACGGUAUCUUACCAGAAAGGGACGGCUAACUACGUGCCAGCAGCCGCGGUAAUACGUAGGUCCCGAGCGUUGUCCGGAUUUAUUGGGCGUAAAGCGAGCGCAGGCGGUUAGAUAAGUCUGAAGUUAAAGGCUGUGGCUUAACCAUAGUACGCUUUGGAAACUGUUUAACUUGAGUGCAAGAGGGGAGAGUGGAAUUCCAUGUGUAGCGGUGAAAUGCGUAGAUAUAUGGAGGAACACCGGUGGCGAAAGCGGCUCUCUGGCUUGUAACUGACGCUGAGGCUCGAAAGCGUGGGGAGCAAACAGG
rnacentral:rRNA from 1 species